rnacentral:lncRNA from 1 species
AUGGCAAUAGUGCUGAACGGGUUCCAAUUGUAUGAGAAUUCUUCCUUAGGCUCCACCAGUGUUGCCACCUUUCUCAGCUAUGCAGAGUUCAAACCAUUUUCCUACUACAUCUCCAGAAUGACAGGAACAUUUGGUAACAGUGAGCACACCUGGGCUCGCUUCUGGAGUGGUUGCAGAACCAGAAGGGCUGGGAAGAUUUGUUCUGAAUUUUUGUGUCUCAGCUUGGAUCUGGAUUGUUCGUUACUCUGCCUCAAUGCUCAAGCCAACUAGCUUUGCUGAGAGGUAGAGAUAAACCUGGAAUUCAUUCCUAGUUAAAAAUGACUGCGCUGUUAAAACAUCCUCAUAGGGUGAUGCCGUUACUUGUAGACUUACAAUAAAUCAUGGCUACACUGAAAGUCCA